AGUGAACGCUGGCGGCAGGCCUAACACAUGCAAGUCGAACGGCAGCACAGCAGUAGCAAUACUGUGGGUGGCGAGUGGCGGACGGGUGAGGAAUACAUCGGAAUCUACCUUGUCGUGGGGGAUAACGUAGGGAAACUUACGCUAAUACCGCAUACGAACUAUGGUUGAAAGCGGCGGACCGCAAGGCGUCGCGCGAUUGGAUGAGCCGAUGUCCGAUUAGCUAGUUGGCGGGUAAAGGCCCACCAAGGCGACGAUCGGUAGCUGGUCUGAGAGGAUGAUCAGCCACACUGGAACUGAGACACGGUCCAGACUCCUACGGGAGGCAGCAGUGGGGAAUAUUGGACAAUGGGCGCAAGCCUGAUCCAGCCAUGCCGCGUGUGUGAAGAAGGCCUCGGUUGUAAGACACUUGUUGGGUAGGAAAGACGAC
rnacentral:rRNA from 1 species